CGAUCUGAUUGGCUGACAGCAACACAGAAGAAAUUGAACAAUGCAUGCUGGGAAAUUUCAGCAGGCCGACCAAUGGCAGGCCCUGCCCCGUGUGAUGUCACGGCGGUAUAAAGCCCCCGGCCGCCCUGCAGUCGGCUCUGAGCAGACUCAGCGUUCCCAGCCUGGACGCCUCGGCUGGUGGAACUGCUGUUCGGAGGAAAAAACAAGACUACAGCGUUUACUGUAGUUUUGUUUUUUGAUUCGUUUGGGCUCCUUCCAGACUCAACUUUUCUCCUUUUGGAUUUUGUGACUAAACUUUCUGGAUAAAGAGAUUUUUUGACUUCCUGAAGAACAGCCCUCCUCAGGGCAUCCCAGGCAUCCUUGUGCAGACAAGUAAGUGACUUUUAAAGUUAUCCAAAGUGAUUAACGAGCAGCAGCUGAGUGACGGAUGGAUGUCUGUCUGCUCACACACAGACACCAGACUCCAUUAAUUUCUUUGUCACUUUUCAGAGAGCGACAUAUUGAAGGCUUUUUGCUGCUUUUCCACGCUGAAGGUUAUAAUGGGACGUCCCAGAAUAGCCAAUGAUAGCAUCAGGCUGGACUCUCCGCUGGGCGGCUGAUGGCUUUUUAAGGGAAUCAGCAGCAGGGCUAUCAGUUGCUCCUCCAGCUAUGUGCCACAUGGUGGCUGUCAAUCAAACUGAGGUGUGGUGGUGGAGGGGGGUGCUGUUAUUUUUAGUGUUUGGUGUCCUGUGUUAGAUCAACCCCCCCCAUCGAGCUCUGUGGGGAGGAAGUGUCUGACUGGGGGAUGCAUCAUUGGAUCUUUUAUUUUGGAGGAGCGUGAACAGCUGUUGGUGUGUCGUUAGGGUUUAUUAUUUUUAGUUUUUAGUGGAGGGACCCUGGCUGAUCUGCAGCACUUUGGGAACAAAGUUAUAAAAAAAUAUAUGAACCCAUGUGAUGCGUUUGAUCCUGCAGCUUUUAUUUUAUUUUGAAGGACUCGUUACUAUAAGAAGAGUUUCCUUAUUUAUAAUUAUAUUCUUAUUCUUAUAUAUUAUAUUCUUUCUUUUUUAACAUCCUUCACAAAAUGGUGUUUAAAUAUAAAUAAAGUUAGUAUUUCAUAAAAUGGUAAACUUCAUUUUUCAGAAAGAGAAAACAGCAAAAAUAAUAUUACAAAAUUAAAAAAAGUUAAAUUAAUAGAAAGGGGAAAGUGCAGUUUGUACCAAAUGUAAAAUAAAAAACAAACGACACAAAUAAUUAAUUGUUACGUGCAAAAUAAAACAGGAAGAAACAGGAAAAUAUAAAAAACAAAAUAAAAUAAUAAAACCCUCAAAACCAAAAUAAAAUCAGAGAAAUAAAUUAUUUAAAAACAAUAUUAAUAUCACAGAGUAGAAGUUAAAGUACUGCGUUAUAAUUUAGUAAAAGUCCAGAAGCAUUUAUUAGUAAAACAAAGUUAUAAAUAAUAGUGCGAUACAUUAUUAUUAUUAUUGGAAUAGUAUAUUAUUAUUAUUAUUAUUAUUAUUAUUAUUGGAAUAGUAUAUUAUUAUUGUAAUAUUUUGUAUUUAAUAUAAAGGUUAUAAAUCUAAAUUUACAAAGUAAAAGUUCAACAUACUCAAGUAAAGUAAAAGUACUCGUCACACUCUGCACCGACUUUUAAAUAAAGUUUAAUGCGACGGUGUUUAGUGUUACAGUCGGUGGAGUCAUCGCAUUAAGUUUAGCUGUAACCAGAUCUCAUGUGGCGUUCAGGGACUCGCAGAUUUACCGGAUUAUUUCCCCACUCUAACCUUUAACCAACGUUUGAACUGAGCUCUACAUUUCACAGCUUUUCUAAAGUUACAAACAGAAAAUAGAUUAAAUUAAACAUGUUGAUCACAGAUGUGCUUGUUUGUUUACUUUUAAAGCAUCUUAAAAUAUCUUAAAAUGCCCUUAAUGUAUCUCACACACACCUUCAUCAAAGUUAAUAAAAGUUUGUUUAAGGGAAUAAAACUCAUAAAAAAAACUAUUUAAAGUAUUUAACUUUCCUCCUAAUUUACUAAUUUAGAAUAUUUGACAAAUGAUGAUUACUUUACAUGUUUCAGGUGUAAAUUAAUGAUUUUAAGGGAUUGUUGGGUAUUUGGGGUAA
rnacentral:lncRNA from 1 species